UUCUUCCUUCUCCAAAAUUUCUAUUUCUUUUCCUUCUUUUUCCCUUUCUUUCUCCCCUUCUUUUCCAAAACAAAAACGAGCUCUCUUCUCAUUUCGAUCAUACACAGCACAAACAAAACUGUUUGAAUCCACACUUCUCACAUCCCAAAUAACACUUUCUCCUUUUUGUCCCUCGUUCUCUUGAAUAUCGAAAAGAAUUGGAGAAGAAAAUAAA
rnacentral:ribozyme from 13 species